rnacentral:rRNA from 1 species
CAAGCCUUAACUAGGCUGUAAAAAGCCUUAGUUACUGUAAGAUAUCCAACGAAAGUGACUUUAAAACUUCUGACUACACGACAACUAGACCCAAACUGGGAUUAGAUACCCCACUAUGCUUAGUCCUAAACAUAAAAAAUUAUAAACAAAAUUAUUCGCCAGAGUACUACCAGCAAAAGCUAGAAACUCAAAGGACUUGGCGGUGCCUUAUAUCCCUCUAGAGGAGCCUGUUCUAUAAUCGAUAAACCCCGAUAUACCUUACCAAUCCUUGCCAAAUCAGCCUAUAUACCGCCAUUUCAGCAAACCCUAAUAAAGGAAGUACAGUAAGCACAAAUAUAAACAUAAAAACGUUAGGUCAAGGUGUAGCUUAUGGAUUGGAAAGAAAUGGGCUACAUUUCCCCGAAUUGAGGACACCCACGAAAACUUAUGUGAAAUCAUUAGUCAAAGGUGGAUUUAGCAGUAAAUUAAGAAUAGAGUGCUUAAUUGAUAAGGCCAUGAGGCACGCACACACCGCCCGUCACCCUCCUCAAGCUAAAAAUAUUAUUUUUCCAUAAAACUUAAAAACAUUAAUCAGCAAGAGGAGACAAGUCGUAACAAGGUAAGUGUACUGGAAAGUGCACUUGGAUAACACAAA